AUGAGAACCUCCGGGGGCAGGAGGUUCGACCCGAGCGAAGCGAGAGAACGUUGCGUCAGCAACGGCCCGCAGGGCGAGCCACGCAGUGGCGAGUCAUCCUCUAUCACCGACCA
rnacentral:sRNA from 1 species